rnacentral:rRNA from 1 species
CCUACGGGAGGCAGCAGUGGGGAAUAUUGGACAAUGGGCGAAAGCCUGAUCCAGCCAUGCCGCGUGUGUGAAGAAGGCCUUCGGGUUGUAAAGCACUUUCAGUGGGGAAGAAAGCCUUGGGGCUAAUACCCUCGAGGAAGGACAUCACCCACAGAAGAAGCACCGGCUAACUCCGUGCCAGCAGCCGCGGUAAUACGGAGGGUGCGAGCGUUAAUCGGAAUUACUGGGCGUAAAGCGCGCGUAGGCGGUCUGAUAAGCCGGUUGUGAAAGCCCCGGGCUCAACCUGGGAAUGGCAUCCGGAACUGUCAGGCUAGAGUGCAGGAGAGGAAGGUAGAAUUCCCGGUGUAGCGGUGAAAUGCGUAGAGAUCGGGAGGAAUACCAGUGGCGAAGGCGGCCUUCUGGACUGACACUGACGCUGAGGUGCGAAAGCGUGGGUAGCAAACAGGAUUAGAUACCCUAGUAGUC